rnacentral:rRNA from 2 species
AGAGUUUGAUCAUGGGUCUUGAUCAACGCUGGAUGAGUGCCUAAUAGGUGCAAGUCUUACGAGUUCUCUUUGAUGCCCGGAGAUUGCACCGAGAUUCAACAUGGAAGGAGUGGCGGAGGGGAGAACCACACGUGAGUAACCUGCCCUUUCUUGGGGGAUAACCUUUGCUAUCAAAUGCUUUUACCGCUUUUAUCCACUCUCCUCAUGGAUCGUGGCUGAAAGAUGGAGUAAGCUAUCUGUUUUGGAUGGACCCGCGGCGUAUUAUUUAGUUGGAGAGGUAAUGGCUUACCAUUGCGAUGAUACCUUCCAAAAACUGAGAGGUUGAUCGGAGGCUUUGGGACUGAGACACGGCCCCAACUCCUGCGGGAUCCCCCCCUAGGGAAUCUUCCCCAAUGGACUCCAGUCUGAUGGACCCACGCCGCGUGAGCGAAAAAGGCUUUCGGGUCGUACAACUCUGUUGAUGUAGAAGAAGGGUCGGUCCAGUAACUGUUGUCGGCGUGACGGUAUCCAAUGUGAAUUCCACUUUCUUACUACUAUGCCUAUAGCCACGGUAAUACGUAAAAGGCAAGCGUUAUCCGGAUUUAUUGGGCGUAAAGCGAGCGCAGGCGGUUUUUUAAGUCUGAUGUGAAAGCCCUCGGCUUAACCGAGGAAGCGCAUCGGAAACUGGGAAACUUGAGUGCAGAAGAGGACAGUGGAACUCCAUGUGUAGCGGUGAAAUGCCGUAGAUAUAUGGAAGAACACCAGUGGCGAAUGCGGCUGUCUGGUCUGUAACUGACGCUGAUGCUCGAAAGCAUGGGUAGCGAACAGGAUUAGAUACCCUGGUAGUCCAUGCCGUAAACGAUGAAUGCUAGGUGUUGGAGGGUUUCCGCCCUCCAGUGCCGCAGCUAACGCAUUUAAGCAAUUCCCGCCUGGGGAGUACGAACCGCAACGUUGCAAACUCAAAGGAAUUGACGGGGGCCCGCACAAG